AGAGUUUGAUCCUGGCUCAGGACGAUUUCUGGCGGCGCGCCUAACACAUGCAAGUCGAACGGAGUCAAGAGGAGCUUGCUUUUCUUGACUUAGUGGCGAACGGGUGAGUAACGCGUGAGUAACCUGCCCUGGAGUGGGGGACAACAGUUGGAAACGACUGCUAAUACCGCAUAAGCCCACGGAUCCGCAUGGAUCUGCGGGAAAAGGAUUUAUUCGCUUCAGGAUGGACUCGCGUCCAAUUAGCUAGUUGGUGAGGUAACGGCCCACCAAGGCGACGAUUGGUAGCCGGACUGAGAGGUUGAACGGCCACAUUGGGACUGAGACACGGCCCAGACUCCUACGGGAGGCAGCAGUGGGGGAUAUUGCACAAUGGGGGAAACCCUGAUGCAGCGACGCCGCGUGGAGGAAGAAGGUUUUCGGAUUGUAAACUCCUGUCGUUAGGGACGAUAAUGACGGUACCUAACAAGAAAGCACCGGCUAACUACGUGCCAGCAGCCGCGGUAAAACGUAGGGUGCAAGCGUUGUCCGGAAUUACUGGGUGUAAAGGGAGCGCAGGCGGACCGGCAAGUUGGAAGUGAAAACUAUGGGCUCAACCCAUAAAUUGCUUUCAAAACUGCUGGCCUUGAGUAGUGCAGAGGUAGGUGGAAUUCCCGGUGUAGCGGUGGAAUGCGUAGAUAUCGGGAGGAACACCAGUGGCGAAGGCGACCUACUGGGCACCAACUGACGCUGAGGCUCGAAAGCAUGGGUAGCAAACAGAAUUAGAUACCCUGGUAGUCCAUGCCGUAAACGAUGAUUGCUAGUUGUUGGAGGAUUGACCCCUUUCAGUGCAGCAGUUAACACAAUAAGUAAUCCACCUGGGGGAGGUACGACCGCAAGGUUGAAACAUCAAAGGAAUUGACGGGGGCCCGCACAAGCAGUGGAGUAUGUGGUUUAAUUCGAAGGCAACGCGAAGAACCUUACCAGGUCUUGACAUCCGAUGCAUAGUGCAGAGAUGCAUGAAGUCCUUCGGGACAUCGAGACAGGUGGUGCAUGGUUGUCGUCAGCUCGUGUCGUGAGAUGUUGGGUUAAGUCCCGCAACGAGCGCAACCCUUAUUGCCAGUUACUACGCAAGAGGACUCUGGCGAGACUGCCGUUGACAAAACGGAGGAAGGUGGGGAUGACGUCAAAUCAUCAUGCCCUUUAUGACCUGGGCUACACACGUACUACAAUGGCGUUUAACAAAGAGAAGCAAGACCGCGAGGUGGAGCAAAACUCAAAAACAACGUCUCAGUUCAGAUUGCAGGCUGCAACUCGCCUGCAUGAAGUCGGAAUUGCUAGUAAUCGCGGAUCAGCAUGCCGCGGUGAAUACGUUCCCGGGCCUUGUACACACCGCCCGUCA
rnacentral:rRNA from 1 species